AUAGGAUUGCUCUGCCUGUUUUUAUUGCACAUGUGCUGCCAGAAAUAAAGCUGUGAGCAAAGGCCAGAGCCUGCAGUGGCCAUCUCUGGAACAGGCAUCCAAGGAAUAGCAGGAGGCUGGAAGCCAAAAACCAGGCCAGCUUUGCCCAGAGGGAUGCACUGGCCUGCCAGAGCCACCCUUGACUCAGCCACUGAUUGAAACAGGAGUUCAGACCAAGCACAGCAGAAUCACAUUAAUAAAUAAGUAUUGUCUUCUAAUUCCCCCAUCUCACAAAUAAUCUCUGCCAGAGCCCCAGGCUGGAGAAGAGAACUUUGCCAGCAGAGAUGGCAGUGUUUGGGUAGAUGAAACCCUCAGCAUCCCAGUCUCUGAGGUCUGGGGGCUGCUGAGUGGGCUCAGAGAGCAUUAGGACCAGGACACCGCAUUGCUGCUGUCACUCUUCCCCCAGCAGCGAAUAAUGCACCAAAACGCUGAGUAUUAAGGGCAUUUCUCAUCUGCUGGUGCAGGAUCCCCCAUUCACUCCUUUUCAGAUGUGAAUCCCUGUGCCUGCAGAAAAAUUGAGACAGACAUCAGCUGGAAACUUGUCCUGGGGAAGGGCUGGGCAAGCAGACUGUGCUGCUAAGGACGGCAGGAAAAAUGUGUGGCAGGAACUGCUCAGACUAUUUGCUGAGCAAUAGCUUACACAUUUUGGGGAAGAGGAAUUCUUGCACCAAAAUGCCCCUUUCCCAUCAUCUUAAAAGAAAAAGCAAACUUGCAGACCUUGGGGAAAGACCAGGUGCUUUCCUCACGUUUCAAACUGACUGAUUUUUAAGUGUUUUACUGACACCAUUGAUGUUUUGCAGGACCUGGCAUCUGAUGCAAAUGGUGAUGCUGGGAUCUGCUUAACUUCUGUGUGGCCCAUGGUUUUGUUCAAUUCCCUCCAGAGAUAUCCAGGUCACCUGCUUUUCUUCUCCCAUUUCCCUGCCUUAUCACAGCUGCAGACCAGUGCUCCCCUUUUGUGUCAUGGAACAAAGCAAAGAUCUCUCAGCAAUGUGGCCAGGAGAAGCUGUUCCCAUUGCUUAGAAAACUUGCUCCAGGGGUUGGUCACAGACAGGCUGUUUUCGAGUAAUGGAGUUUUCCAUUAAACCCCUUCUAAAUGUCAGAUCUCUAGCUUUGCCCCAGCAUUACAGAAUACAGGGUGGUUUUUUUUUUUUGUCUUGUUUUGUUUUGGCUUAUUAUUAUUUUUUUUUUAAUUACAGAAACCACCAGUGGUGGGAUAUGCUUUGUUAAACUGGAGAGAUGAAUGAGCUCACCAUUUUCCUAGAAUUCAAUUGCAUAGAAUCAUAGAGUCACAGAGUCAUAGAAUGGCUUGGGUUGGACCUUUAAGCUCAUCCAGUUCCACCCCCCUGCCAUGAGCAGGGACACCUUUCACUAGGUCAGGUUGCUCAGAGCUCCAUCCAAACUGGUCUUGGGCACUUCUAGGGACUGGGAAUCCACAGCUUCUCUGGGCAACCUGUGCCAGUGCUCAACACCCUCUGAGCAAAGAACUUCUCCCUAUCAUCGGAUCUAAAUCUCUCCUCUACAAGCUGAAAAGAAUGCCCGAGCAGAGAAAUGAACAUGGUAACAAAUGCAGUGAGGUAACAAAUGGUGUUUUUAACUCUCUGUGCAGAGGGAAUUCUCUUACUGGCCCUGAAUCCCAGCUUGCCAGGCUCUGAGUGUUUUUUGUUUUACUAAACCACAGACCAGGACCUAUCACUCUUGAAACCCUUUCCUGUACUGCCUCAGCUGACUCACAACAAAUAUAUACCUUGUGUUAAGGAAUAAAGGCAGGUUACAGAUAGUGGAAAAACAUCCGUUUUUUUUAAACCAUAGUAGCUGGGAGACAUUUUGGCAGAGAAUUCACAAGGCAGGAGUGUUCUGUCCUCUUCCUUUUACUAGUGCAGAAGGGCAGAGAAAAUGAAAAAGGAACAGGAAGGGAUGGAAAGAAGGAAGGUAAAAGAAAUGCUAUUUUGAGGAUGAUGAUGAUAAUAAUAAUAACCAAAAGGGUACAGAGAUUUUAAAAAUUCCAUGGAAAUCAUUGACACAUGGAGGUAUUAAGGUACUCACAGAAACUCCCUGACAAAGUACACUUUUUGAAAACAGAGCCAAAUGGAGAUCUUCUUGCAUGAACUAAAAGCAACAGACUAAACAAAACUUCUCCAGGGAAGUCAUGCAGCUCUGUGCCACGGCAGUUAUCAUGCAUCCAGCUGCAGAGCUCCUGAUCUGCUCCUCGGAAAUAGGCCUAGAGAGAGAAUCAGCUCCCCACAGAAAAAGAAUCUGUCAUUGCUGUUGUUGAACAUCCACGUCACGGUCAGCACACUUAUUUGUCACAGGCAACACAGUAUUUGUUUAUAUGAAUAGGACCAAAUAAUUCAACACAUAUCAUAUAAUUUCCCUCUUCUUUAAAGUGCCAAAGAGGAGUUUUAUCUUUGUGUUUCUCAAGGCAGUACUGGGUGUGGGUGGAGGGCAGGGGCAGGAGCUGUAGGGCACAGCAGAGGCUGCCAGAGCCCCACCUCUCCUGGUACCUCUAGGUGGGUUUUCCCUGGGCUCACACUGCCAGGUCCUAGCAGCCAAGUGAGUCUCCUGCCAGCAGCUGAUUGCAGGAACGCUGCCCCGUGUGCACCUGCAAAACCACAGUGAGUGUGGGCUGCCUUCCUUGCUCAGCUCUGCUCUCCAGCCACCCGCCUGUGUGUCUCCCCACACGAGGAUAAUCCUUAAACUCUUCCUUCCCAUCAUGGCCCAGCCAGGAUCCAACUCCUCUGAGCUCCUGGCAUGAAGCAGCAGUUAUUAAUUUUACAGAAAGCUUUUAUUUGUAAUUUUGUAAAAUUGGCCUGAGCUACAGGGUCUGCUUUUCAACUUCUCUGUUUGCCAGGAGGUUGGAUCUGAAUACUGGCAUCCCUCUACCUUACAAAAUUUAUGAAGCAUAAAAAUGUGGCAGGAAUAUUAGUGCUCUGCAAACAUCAGAUAUUAAAGUAUUAAUUGCUAUUCUCACUCCUCUUCUACUAUGCAUGGUUUGGAAAUCAGAAAUAAGGUUUUUCUCUAAUUUACAUUGAUUGAAAUAGACUUCAUUCAAACCCCAAAAUUUUUUUAGUGCCAGAAGUCAGGUGCAUGGAGGGGUUUUAAUAACAUCAGGCCCCUCAGGACUCAUCAACUCCCACUGAAGACUAAUAUCAACACAAUUUAGCUGGGCAGUUUCAGUCCUGACCCCAGCUGACCCCAGUGACAGACCAAAGGACAAUGAGCAGCAACGCCCUUUGCUCAGCUGGAUUUUGGACUGCCAAAAGCACUCCUGCUCAGUGUGAGAGGAGGGGAGACUUCUGAUGCUCUUCAGGAGGCGGCUGCAAGAUGUGUUGGAUGUGUGACUGGACAAAAACCUUAACUGUGCAUUUCAGAAGAGCAUCCAGCUACACUGAGCCAGAGGAGACACUCAUCUUCCUCGUUCUCUGUUCUCAGCUCCCUGUCAUACAGAAGGCUCAGAAAAUGCUGGCACGGCUCUGCUGCUUUACCCAGCCCUGAAAGAGGGUCUCAAACAGAGGGGCUGAGGCAUUUGCUCAAGCAGCUCAAACUCUGGGCAGGAGCCUGUGUGGAACCAGGGUUGAAAUUCUCCUUUGCUGUGCUCACAGAUUUUUCAGUGCACCUCGACUGUGGCAGGAACAAGGGCAUCCCAAGGCUGCCUGACAUCUAACUGGGGCUCCUCUUGGUUUCAAGUUGUGCCCAUGGCUUCCUGUUCUUUCUCUGCACCUCCAAGGGAGUGUCUGGGGCAGUUUCCUCUGCACUCUUCCUGUGCUGAGCAAGCCCAGCUCUCUCUGCCUCUCCCAGCACUGGUCCCAGCCCUGAGCACCUCCCUGGCCUGGGCUGGGCUCUCCUGGGCUGAUCCACUGAGAUGUGCCUGGUCAGUGCACCAGGGCCUCACCUCUCCUGCUAAGCUUUUUCCAACCCAUUUGCCCAAAUUUGUCCUGCUGGUGGUUGGGUUCAAGCUGCAGGACUUGACAUUUGCUUUAGUUGAACUCCCUAAAGUUCCUGAAUAGAGAAUCAUACUUCCACACUGAUAUUUUUUUUAAUGCACUAAGAGGUAAACACAGAAAAGCUGACGUUUUUCUGACAAAUCCUUAAUCCGUUUUAUUUUAGUAACUGGCAUUGGAAAAAUUGAAUCCCCACCUACUCAGUUCUCACUUAGGCUAUAUUAUUAUUUUAAGACAUUUUAAAAUAUUCUUGAUUUUCAACCAUAAACUGUAGAAAAAAAAAAAUAUGUCAGAAAAGAGGUUACAGAUUUGAGCUUCCCUGCUGUCAGUUCUCCCACACACACACCUGUGCCCUACUGCUGAUCUGUGAGUUAUUGAAAAAGUAUCCCAGGGAGACUAAACGUAUAUCUAAAAUAAGCCACAGAGAUUUCCAUCCAUUCAGGCAAACAACCAAAAAAAAAA
ensembl:lncRNA